rnacentral:rRNA from 1 species
UACGUAGGUGGCAAGCGUUAUCCGGAAUUAUUGGGCGUAAAGGGUGCGUAGGCGGUUUGAUAAGUCUAAGGUGAAAGUUCGGAGCUUAACUCCGGAUUGCCUUAGAAACUGUCAGACUAGAGUGCAGGAGAGGGCAAUGGAAUUCCAUGUGUAGCGGUAAAAUGCGUAGAUAUAUGGAGGAACACCAGUGGCGAAGGCGGUUGCCUGGCCUGUAACUGACGCUGAAGCACGAAAGCGUGGGGAGCAAAUAGG